GCCUGGGUGGCUUGGUCGGUUAAGCGUCUGACUUCGGCUCAGGUCACGAUCUCGCGGUCCGUGGGUUCAAGCCCCACGUCGGGCU
rnacentral:tRNA from 1 species